AUGUGAAACUGCAAACUGGCCUUGAAGCAAUCGAACUUCUUGAACGUAAAUUGGCGGCAAUUAAGGGCUUCUUGCCUGAUGCCACGCCUAGCCGAGUGUCGGCAU
rnacentral:rRNA from 1 species